UGAGACAAUCGGGUGAUCGCGGCGCGCGGAACGGGCAAGUCAUUGCACACGCCGCGCGCGGAGGAAAGUCCGGACUCCAUAGGGCACGGUGGUUGCUAACAGCAACCCAGGGCGACCUGCGGGCUAGUGCCACAGAAAAGUACCGCCAGUGAUACUGGUAAGGGUGAAAAGGUGCGGUAAGAGCGCACCAGCGUUCCAGGUGACUGGGACGGCUCGGUAAACCCCACUGGGAGCAAGGUCAAGAGGCAGCAUUACCCCACAUUUGCCACUCAAGCAGUGUGUGGCAGUGCUGCCCGGUUCUAGGGCGGCCCGUCUGAUUGAAGAACCAGGUAGACCGCUUGAGGCCACCAGCGAUGGCUGGUCCAGAUGGAUGAUCACCUCGCGCCGCGUCGGCCAUUCGUGGCGGCGGCGUAUGACAGAAUCCGGCUCACAGAUUGUCUCAGCCG
rnacentral:RNase_P_RNA from 6 species